UACGGAGGGUGCAAGCGUUGUUCGGAUUUACUGGGCGUAAAGGGCGGGUAGGCGGCCACCGCAAGUCAGUUGUGAAAUCUCCGGGCUUAACCCGGAAAGGUCAACUGAUACUGCGGGGCUAGAGUGCAGAAGGGGCAACUGGAAUUCUCGGUGUAGCGGUGAAAUGCGUAGAUAUCUGGAGGAACACCGGUGGCGAAGGCGGCAUCCUGGACCAACAUUGACGCUGAGGAGCGAAAGCUAGGGGAGCAAACGGG
rnacentral:rRNA from 1 species